GUGAAUACAACGCCCUGGUGGAGGACAAUGUCCGUAGCUGAAUAUCAGUAAGACAAGGGGAAUGGUGAUGGUCUUUAGGAAGAUUAAACCAGCACUGCUCCCUGUUACUAUUGAUGGUGAGGACAUGGAUGUGGUGAGGCCCUACAAGUACCUGGGGGUGCACCUGGAUGGCUGACCUGAGUGGGGCACCAACAUCGAGGCUGUGUACAAAAAGAGCCAGAGUGGCAUCUACUUCCUGAGGAGACUGAGGUCCUUUGGAGAAUACAGACCUCUCCUUCAUGUGUUCGACCAGUCUGUUGUCACCAGUACAAUUUUCUAUGUGGUGGUGUGCUGGGUGAAUGGCAUCAACACAAGUAAUACCAUCAGGCUCAAUAAACGGAUUAGAAAGGCUGGCUCUGUUAUAGCAGGCAAACUGGACACACUGGAGACCGUGGUAGAACAAAUGACCCUAUGGAAGAUCCUGACAAUUCUGGACAAUAUGUUUCUCACCUUCUGUAUGCCACCUUGACCGAACAGAGGAGCACUUUUAGUCAUAGGCUAAGACAACUGUACUGCUUCAAAGAGCUCUAUAUGAAGUCAUUCUUGCCUUCCGCAAUUAGGCUCUAUAACGAGUCAACCUAAAGCCGGGGAAGUGAUGACACCCUCCUGUUAGACUGCUUGAGAGUAGCCCUACUCUCUUCUCCUGCUGCCAUCAUGAAAAAGGUGGAGGACCAUACCACUAGGUCACUCUUCAACCAUCAGGCUCCUGAAGCAGUGUGGAUAACCUCACUCACUCCAACUCUGAACUGACUCCACAACCUAUGAACUCACUUUCAAAGACUCUGCAACUCAUGUUCUUGCUGCACCCUCUCUAACAUGCUGAUAGAGGGAGUUUUAUUUGGGUUUUCUUUAGCGCUGGAAAUGGUUACAUCCCAACGUGUGGGACAGAAGCAAGGUCGCAUUGUGUAUUUCACGGACCAGCAAAGACCGGCCGGCUUAGCGAACAGAGCGGCGGACUCCCCUGCUGAAAUCCAGAGGAAAACACAAAGGGGGAUCACAAAGCCGAGGAAAGAGGACCGGGUCGAGACAACAGAGACUUUUGGAGAAGAGGAGUUUGGUGGGUAAUACCGUUCCGGCUGACCGGAAGUGCACUGAGAGCGGUGAGCGUAAAGGAGUUCGGUGCUUACUGUUCUGGUGCAAUCCGGGGUAUAUUACGAUCGAGGAACGUGUUUGCAGACUGGAUAUUGAACUUUUUACUGUUGGACUUCGGCCACAUUCCACCGUGAUACAACACUUGGCGGCACGGGAGGUCGUUCCUGCCUGUGGCCAUCGAACGUGCAGCUCCUCCCGUGGAGGGUCAGACACCCUGAGCCAAUAGACUGGACCUGGACUUAUUUUCCAUCUAGCAUAGUUUGCAUUUUGGUGUUUGAUUGAUGGGGUUUUUUGUAUUGCUAUAUUUACGCUCUAUUCUUGGUUGGUGCGGCUGUAACGAAACCAAAUUUCCCUUGGGAUUAAUAAAGUAUAUCUAUCUAUCUAUCUAUCUAUCUAAGAAACGAAAAGAUGAAAUAUGAGGGCAAACUAGCCAAUAAUAUAAAGCAGGAUACAAAAAGUUUUUCAGUUAUAUAAAGAAAAAAAAAGACAGUUAGAGUUGAUAUUGGACCACUGGAAAAUGAUGCUGGUGAGGUAGUAAUAGGGGACAAAAAAAUUGCAGAUGAACUUAGUAAGUACUUUGCAUCAGUCUUUACAGUGGAAGACGCUAACUGUAUGCCAGAGGUCCAGAAGUGUCAAGGAGCAGGAGUGAAUGCCGCUGCUAUUACAAAGGAAAAAGUGCUAGGCAAACUGAAAGGUCUUAAGGUGGAUAAGUCACCUGGACCAGAUGGACUAUAUUCCAGAGUCCUAAAAGAGGUUGCUGAAGAGAUAACGGAUGCAUUUGUUAUGAUCUUUCAAGAAUCACUUAAUUUUGGCAUGGUCCCAGAGGACUGGAAAAUUGAAAAUGUCACUCCACUCUUUAAGAAGGGUGGAAGACAGAAGAGAGGAAUUUAUAGGCCAGUUAGCCUAACCUCAUUGGUUGGGAAAGCAUUUCAGGGUACUUGGAGACUAAUGAUAAAAUAAGUCGAAGUCAGCAUCGUUUCUGUCAAUGGAAAUCUUGCCUGACAAAUCUGUUAGAAUUCUUCGAGGAAGUAACAAGCAGCAUGGACAAAGGAGAGGCAGUGGAUAUCAUUUACUUAGAUUUUCAGAAGGCAUUUGAUAAAGUGCUUCAUGUAAGGCUGCUUAACAAGGAAAAAUUCCUAUGUUAUUACAGGAAAUAUACUGCAUGGAUAGAGGAAUGGCUGACAGGCAGGUUGCAGCAUGUGGGAAUAAAGGGGACUUUUCCGGUUGGCUGCCAGUGACUAGUAGUUUUCCUCAGGGGUCAGUAUUGGGACCGCUACUUUUCACAUUGUUUGUCAAUGAUUUAGAUAGUGGAAUUGAUGACUUUGUAGCAAAGUUUGCAGAUGAAACAAAGAUAGGUGGAAGGGUAGGUAGUGCUGAGGAAGCAAUCAGAUUACAGCAGAUCUUAGACAAAUUGGAAGAAUGGGCAAAAAAGUGGCAAAUGGAAUGCAGUGUUGGGAAAUGUAUGAUAAUGUAUUUUGGUAAAAGGAACAAUAAUGUGGACUAUUAUCUAAAUGGGGAGAAAAUUCAAACAUCAGAGGUGCAAAGGGACUUGGGAGUCCUCGUGCAAGACUCCCAGAAGGUUAAUUCACAGGUUAAGUCUGUAGUAAAGAAGACUAAUGCAACUUUGGCAUUUAUUUCAAGGGGAAUAGAAUAUAAAAACAAGGAGAUAAUGCUGAAGCUUUAUAAGACACUAGUCAGGCUACACUUGGAAUAUUGUCAACGGUCUUGCUGCCCCUAUCUCUAAAAGGAUGUAUUGUCACUGGAGAGAGUCUAGAAGCAGUUCACAAGGAUGAUUCCAGGAAUGAAGGGGUUAACAUAUGAGGAGUGUUUGGCAGCUUUGGGCCUGUACUCAAUGGAAUUUAGAAGAAUGCGUGGGGAUCUCACUGCAACCUGUCGAAAGUUGAAAGGAGUAGAUAAGGUGGGUGUGGAGAGGAUGUUUCCUCUGGUGGGAGUAUCCAGAACUAGAGAGCACAGCCUCAAAAUUGAGGGGCGACCUUUUAGAACAGAGGUAAGGAGGAUUUUUUUUUAGCCAGAGUGGUGAAUCUGUGGAAUGUUCUGCUACAGACUGUCAUGGAGGCCAAGUCCAUGGGUAUAUUUAAAACAGAAGUUGAUAGAUUCCUGAUUGGUUGGGGCAUCAAGGGAUAAAGUGAAAGGGCAGGUGUAUGGGUUGAAAAGGGUCCGUGAUCAGCUAUGAUGAAAUGGCCAAGUGUUCUUGAUGGGAUGAAUGGCCUAAUUCUGCUCCUAUGUCUAACGACCUAAAGGACAUGAUAUUUAUUUUAAUAGAAGAAUAUUUCUGAAAAAAAUUUUAAAAAUAAUGUGAUUGUGAUAUAUUUAGGAAUCGCAUGCCUGAGUCAAGCAGGUUCCCUGUACAGCAGAAUUUGAACUACCAUUAAUGGACUCUGGAGGGUAGUACCUCAUUGGAGCUGGAAUUCUUCUAAGUAACUAUAGCAGUCAUUGUUCUUGAUAUGCAAAUGGUGGCAAUUCACCAACAAUGUGUUUGCAUCCUUUUGCUUUGAAGUUAAAGUUCAUGGGAAAUAAAUGUGACAUCUCCCCUAUGGGAUUAUGUGAAAAUCAACAGAUGGCUUUUCUACUACCUUGUCCUGAAUUUUCCUCAGCUUCUGUGAGGAAUUUCCAUGCCUAUCAGAUGUGUGUUGAUGGCCUUUUUACAUUCAACACCUUAUAUCUAAUACUGAUGAAAAAAAAUGUUGUAAAUGAAACAUUAACAAAUAUGACCAUGCAGUUAUUUUCAACUUUGUAAAUAUUAAAUGCAGCACUCAAUUUAAAUUGUUUCAGAUCCAAUUUUAAACACAAUUUUAAAGUAAACAAAGAUUAGAUCCAGUCUCAAGGACGGAAAAUACACAUAUAAUUAUUGUUAUUCACAACACCAAUACUAGCAGUUGCUGAAAUGUACGUGGCUCCUAGUUGUGAAAGAUAUUGAAUCCUUCACAAUUAGGUGAAGUGACAAUUACAGACUAAACUUGAAUCAAUGAAGGAUGCUCAACAGCUGUGACAGGGUUUGAGUGUUAUCACCUCUUACAAAGUGAAAUCAGGUGACAAAGGUGACAGCAGAGCUUUGCUUCCAGAUUAGCUCAAUGCUCACUUUACUCGAUUUGACCAUCAACGCACGGAGGAACCAUCAUGAAUUCCCACAGCUCCCAAUGAUCCUGUGAUUUCAGUCUUUGAGGCCAUAUUUAAAUUUGAUGAUGACCCUAUUAUUGUUAGCUGAAUCAAAAGUGGUGACAUAUCAGCAUAUAGGAGGGAGAUUGAAAAUCUGGCUGAGUGGUGCCACAACAAAAACCUCUUAUUUGAUGUGAGCAAAACCAAGGAACUGAUAAGGAGGAGGAAGCUGGAGGUCCAUGGGCUAGUCCUUAGAGGGGGAUUAGAGGUGGAGACGGUUAGCAACUUGAUAUUCCUCAGUGUUAUCAUUUCAAAAGACCUGUCCUGGGCGCAGCAUGCAAGUGCAAUUAUGAAAAAAAACAGCAGUACCUCUAUUUCCUUAGGAGUUUAUGAAGAUUUAGCAUAACAUCUAAAACUUUGACAAACUUCUAUAGAUCUGUCGUACAAGUAUAUUGAAUGGCUGCAACACAGCCUGGUAUGGAAACACCAAUAUCCUUGAACAGAAAAUCCUAUAAAAAGUUUUGGAUACAGAGCAGUCCAUCAUGGGUAAAGCCCUCCCUACCAUUGAUCAUUCUGCAUGUAGCAUUGUUGCAGGAAAGCAGCAUCUGUCAUCAGGGACCCCACCACCCAGGUCAUGCUCUCUUCUCACUGUUACUACAGGCAAGAAGGUACGAUAGCCUCAGGACUCACCCCACCAGGGUCAGUAACAGUUAUUAUUCCUCAACUAUCAGCCUCUUGAACCAAAGGGAAUAACUUCAUUCAAGCUUACUUGCCCCGUCACUGAACUGUUCCCACAAACUAUGAGCUCACUUUCAAGUCAUCUCAUGUUAUUGAUAAUUUACUUCAAUUAUUAAUUUUUUUCAGCUUGAGCUGGUAAAAUCUGAGGUAUGGGCAUAGCCAAGCACACUCAUUUGUCAGUUGCUAGGAACUUUUGGACUAUUCUAGUGUUGUUUAGUAUCAUGGCUUUAUGAAGAUUUACAUAAAGCCACGUAAAUGCUGUAUAGCUUAGUGCCUUUAGGAUGACACCAUUUGUAGAUAUUACUAUCGGAACAAUGUAUACCUUUUUCAUGUUCAAAAGUCUUUCAAUUCCCUCUUUUAAUUCAGCAUUUUUCUGGUGUUUUUCACAUUGAUCUCUGUAGGUUAUGUGUGUUUGGAAUGACUAUAUCUUUUAAAUAAAUUGUUCUUGCUUGUUUAUCCUGUAUUAUUAUAUCUGUACAGUUAUUAUGGACUGUUCUAACUGUAAUAACUGAUCAGUCAUAAUGUAAUUUGUGGUAUUCUGAUUCUAAAGCUGGAUCAGGCUUAUAUUUAUAGUAAGGUGUGAUUUCAUUUAUGGGUUUGUAUCUUAAAGCAAGCUUUUGAUGAAUGAUGUUUGCCAUUUGAUUGUGCCUGUGUAAGUAAUCAGAUUGUGUUAGAAUGCUACAAGAUCCUGUAAUGUGUUGGAUUGCUUCUGGUUAUUCUUGGCAUUUUCUACAUUUAUCGACUUGAAUUUGUUGUCUUUUAUUCUGUAUUUUUGAUAAUUUUCUUGUGGGCAUUCACAGUAAAUACGAAGAAUUCAAUAAAAUCUUUCAGACAGUUAAUUAGGAUUUAUAAAGACAAACAACAUCCUAUAAACUAAUUUUAUUAGGGCUGCAUCAACCCCAUUUGCACCACUAUAUAUGAUUAUUUUAGUAAGUUCACUGAAAAUUCCUUGCAGACC